AUAAUACUCCAUAGAUUAGAGACACUGGAAUGUUCUUUAGUCGAAAGUUCUGGCGCCUUAGGAUGGAUCUGCGGUCGAUUAGGUUGUUGUUGGGGUAACGGCCCAACAAGCCUGUAAUCGAUACGGGUUGUGGGAGCAAUAGCCCGGAGAUGGAAUCUGAGACAAGAUUCCAGGCCCUACGGGGCGCAGCAGGCGCGAAAACUUUACAAUGCAGGAAACUGUGAUAAGGGAACUCCGAGUGCCCGUAUACGCGGGCUGUCCAGGUGUUUAAAAAUCAUCUGAAGAAAGGGCCGGGCAAGACCGGUGCCAGCCGCCGCGGUAAUACCGGCGGCUCGAGUGGUGGCCACUAUUAUUGGGCUUAAAGCGUCCGUAGCUGGACCGAUAAGUCUCUUGGGAAAUCCGCCGGCUCAACCGGCGGGCGUCUAAGGGAUACUGUUAGUCUAGGGACCGGGAGAGGUGAGAGGUACUCCGGGGGUAGGAGUGAAAUCCUGUAAUCCCCGGGGGACCACCGAUGGCGAAGGCAUCUCACCAGAACGGCUCCGACAGUGAGGGACGAAAGCUGGGGGAGCGAACCGGAUUAGAUACCCGGGUAGUCCCAGCCGUAAACUAUGCGCGUUAGGUGU
rnacentral:rRNA from 1 species